CUGGUGUUGAAGGCCCUGCAAAGCAGCAUCGCGGUGGCGGAGCGUCGUUUGCGACGCCCGACACACAAAACAAGCGGUGAGUGCUUUGGGGUGGGGUGACUGCGUACCUUUUGUAUAAUGGGUCAGCGACUUAUAUUCUGUAGCAAGGUUAACCGUAUAGGGGAGCCGGAGGGAAACCGAGUCUUAAUUGGGCGUUAAGUUGCAGGGUAUAGACCCGAAACCCGGUGAUCUAGCCAUGGGCAGGUUGAAGGUUGGGUAACACUAACUGGAGGACCGAACCGACUAAUGUUGAAAAAUUAGCGGAUGACCUGUGGCUGGGGGUGAAAGGCCAAUCAAACCGGGAGAUAGCUGGUUCUCCCCGAAAGCUAUUUAGGUAGCGCCUCGUGAAUUCAUCUCCGGGGGUAGAGCACUGUUUCGGCUAGGGGGUCAUCCCGACUUACCAACCCGAUGCAAACUGCGAAUACCGGAGAAUGUUAUCACGGGAGACACACGGCGGGUGCUAACGUCCGUCGUGAAGAGGGAAACAACCCAGACCGCCAGCUAAGGUCCCAAAGUCAUGGUUAAGUGGGAAACGAUGUGGGAAGGCCCAGACAGCCAGGAUGUUGGCUUAGAAGCAGCCAUCAUUUAAAGAAAGCGUAAUAGCUCACUGGUCGAGUCGGCCUGCGCGGAAGAUGUAACGGGGCUAAACCAUGCACCGAAGCUGCGGCAGCGACACUGUGUGUUGUUGGGUAGGGGAGCGUUCUGUAAGCCUGUGAAGGUGGCCUGUGAGGGUUGCUGGAGGUAUCAGAAGUGCGAAUGCUGACAUAAGUAACGAUAAAGCGGGUGAAAAGCCCGCUCGCCGGAAGACCAAGGGUUCCUGUCCAACGUUAAUCGGGGCAGGGUGAGUCGACCCCUAAGGCGAGGCCGAAAGGCGUAGUCGAUGGGAAACGGGUUAAUAUUCCCGUACUUGGUGUUACUGCGAAGGGGGGACGGAGAAGGCUAUGUUGGCCGGGCGACGGUUGUCCCGGUUUAAGCGUGUAGGUGUGUGUUCCAGGUAAAUCCGGUUCACUUUAACACUGAGGCGUGACGACGAGGCACUACGGUGCUGAAGCAACAAAUGCCCUGCUUCCAGGAAAAGCCUCUAAGCAUCAGGUAACAUCAAAUCGUACCCCAAACCGACACAGGUGGUCAGGUAGAGAAUACCAAGGCGCUUGAGAGAACUCGGGUGAAGGAACUAGGCAAAAUGGUGCCGUAACUUCGGGAGAAGGCACGCUGACACGUAGGUGAAGUGAUUUACUCA
rnacentral:rRNA from 1 species